UACGUAGGGUCCGAGCGUUGUCCGGAAUUAUUGGGCGUAAAGGGCUCGUAGGCGGUCUGUCGCGUCGGGAGUGAAAACUUACAGCUUAACUGUGAGCGUGCUUCCGAUACGGGCAGACUUGAGGUAUUCAGGGGAGAACGGAAUUCCUGGUGUAGCGGUGAAAUGCGCAGAUAUCAGGAGGAACACCGGUGGCGAAGGCGGUUCUCUGGGCCGUAACUGACGCUGAGGCGCGAAAGCUAGGGGGGCGAACAGG
rnacentral:rRNA from 1 species